AACGAACGCUGGCGGCAUGCCUAACACAUGCAAGUCGAACGAGACCUUCGGGUCUAGUGGCGCACGGGUGCGUAACGCGUGGGAACCUGCCCUUAGGUUCGGAAUAACUCCCCGAAAGGGGUGCUAAUACCGGAAAAUGUCUUCGGACCAAAGAUUUAUCGCCUUUGGAUGGGCCCGCGUUGGAUUAGCUUGUUGGUAGGGUAAAAGCCUACCACGGCGACGAUCCAUAGCUGGUCUGAGAGGAUGAUCAGCCACACUGGGACGGAGACACGGCCCAGACUCCUACGGGAGGCAGCAGUGGGGAAUAUUGGACUAUGGGCGAAAGCCUGAUCCAGCUAUGCCGCGUGAGUGAUGAAGGCCUUAGGGUUGUAAAGCUCUUUUACCCGGGAUGAUAAUGACAGUACCGGGAGAAUAAGCACCGGCUAACUCCGUG
rnacentral:rRNA from 1 species